rnacentral:rRNA from 1 species
GACGAACGCUGGCGGCGUGCUUAACACAUGCAAGUCGAACGGAAAGGCCCUGCUUUUGUGGGGUGCUCGAGUGGCGAACGGGUGAGUAACACAUGAGUAACCUGCCCUUGACUUUGGGAUAACUUCAGGAAACUGGGGCUAAUACCGGAUAGGAGCUCCUGCUGCAUGGUGGGGGUUGGAAAGUUUCGGCGGUUGGGGAUGGACUCGCGGCUUAUCAGCUUGUUGGUGGGGUAGUGGCUUACCAAGGCUUUGACGGGUAGCCGGCCUGAGAGGGUGACCGGCCACAUUGGGACUGAGAUACGGCCCAGACUCCUACGGGAGGCAGCAGUGGGGAAUAUUGCACAAUGGGCGGAAGCCUGAUGCAGCAACGCCGCGUGCGGGAUGACGGCCUUCGGGUUGUAAACCGCUUCCGCCUGUGACGAAGCGUGAGUGACGGUAAUGGGUAAAGAAGCACCGGCUAACUACGUG